rnacentral:rRNA from 1 species
GACGAACGCUGGCGGCGUGCUUAACACAUGCAAGUCGAGCGGUAAGGCCCUUUCGGGGGUACACGAGCGGCGAACGGGUGAGUAACACGUGGGUGACCUGCCCUCAGCUCUGGGAUAAGCCUGGGAAACCGGGUCUAAUACCGGAUAUGACUCCAUGACGCAUGUUGUGGGGUGGAAAGCCUUGUGCGGCUGAGGAUGGGCCCGCGGCCUAUCAGCUUGUUGGUGGGGUGAUGGCCUACCAAGGCGACGACGGGUAGCCGGCCUGAGAGGGCGACCGGCCACACUGGGACUGAGACACGGUCCAGACUCCUACGGGAGGCAGCAGUGGGGAAUCUUGCGCAAUAGGCGAAAGCCUGACGCAGCGACGCCGCGUGAGGGAUGAC